rnacentral:ncRNA from 1 species
CACCGCCCGUCGCUCCUACCGAUUGGGUGUGCUGGUGAAGUGUUCGGAUUGACUUUGACUGGGGCAACCUGGUCAUGGUUGAGAAGUUCAUUAAACCCUCCCACCUAGAGGAAGGAGAAGUCGUAACAAGGUUUCCGUAGGUGAACCUGCGGAAG